UACGAGGGGGGCGAGCGUUGUUCGGAAUUAUUGGGCGUAAAGGGUGCGUAGGCGGUUUGGUAAGUCUCUUGUGAAAAUCCUAUGGGGCUCAACUCAUAGUCUGCAAGGGAAACUGCCGGGCUUGAGUGAUGGGAGAGGUGAGUGGAAUUUCCGGUGUAGCGGUGAAAUGCGUAGAUAUCGGAAGGAACACCUGUGGCGAAAGCGGCUCACUGGACCACAACUGACGCUGAUGGCAACGAAAGCUAGGGGAGCAAACAGG
rnacentral:rRNA from 1 species